AAAUUGAAGAGUUUGAUCAUGGCUCAGAUUGAACGCUGGCGGCAGGCCUAACACAUGCAAGUCGAACGGUAACAGGAAGAAGCUUGCUUCUUUGCUGACGAGUGGCGGACGGGUGAGUAAUGUCUGGGAAACUGCCUGAUGGAGGGGGAUAACUACUGGAAACGGUAGCUAAUACCGCAUAACGUCGCAAGACCAAAGAGGGGGACCUUCGGGCCUCUUGCCAUCGGAUGUGCCCAGAUGGGAUUAGCUUGUUGGUGGGGUAACGGCUCACCAAGGCGACGAUCCCUAGCUGGUCUGAGAGGAUGACCAGCCACACUGGAACUGAGACACGGUCCAGACUCCUACGGGAGGCAGCAGUGGGGAAUAUUGCACAAUGGGCGCAAGCCUGAUGCAGCCAUGCCGCGUGUAUGAAGAAGGCCUUCGGGUUGUAAAGUACUUUCAGCGGGGAGGAAGGGAGUAAAGUUAAUACCUUUGCUCAUUGACGUUACCCGCAGAAGAAGCACCGGCUAACUCCGUGCCAGCAGCCGCGGUAAUACGGAGGGU
rnacentral:rRNA from 1 species